UACGUAGGGUGCAAGCGUUAAUCGGAAUUACUGGGCGUAAAGCGCACGUAGGCGGCUUGUUAAGUCAGGGGUGAAAUCCUGGAGCUCAACUCCAGAACUGCCUUUGAUACUGGCGAGCUUGAGUUCGGGAGAGGUGAGUGGAACUGCGAGUGUAGAGGUGAAAUUCGUAGAUAUUCGCAAGAACACCAGUGGCGAAGGCGGCUUACUGGUCCGGAUCUGACGCUGAGGCGCGAAAGCGUGGGGAGCGAACAGG
rnacentral:rRNA from 1 species